CUCGCUCUCUCUCGGCGCAGCAUUAUCGCGAAGAAGAGGCCAUCAUUCCCUGCGUUACGCGAGAAUAAUCAAGGGGGCUACGACGUGACUAUAUUUAAUGCUGUUAUAUUUUUGUUUUGAUGCAUUGCUGAGGGAAAAUCCUGCUUUCCAGCAUUUCAAGGUCAAGUGGCUUCUCUAGUGUGGAGUUUGCUCCCAAAGACAACAUGACUAGGAAAACAUCUCCUUGGUGGCCUGGGACAAGCUCCUGGUUGACAAAAAAAAAAGCUACAGCAGCACAUUUAAUAAGAUCCAACAAAGGCUGGCAACCAGUUCAGGGUGUCCCCUGCCUCCUGCCCGUUGACAGCUGGGAAAAGCUCCAGCACUCCCCACAACCCUUGUGAGGUAUGUGCUACGCUUACAUCAUGGGUUAGUAAAGGAUGAGGCGAUGCAUGUCGGUGACGUCAUUCUAAAUCAACGUUGAGUUAAAAGAAGAAGACAUUCUCCAGUGCAAGGACUCACAGACUUCCGUGUCUUCCUUAAUCCAUAUAGUAUUUCCACAGACCAGUAUAUAACACAUCUUAUUUGACAUCAGUCACUUGGGUAACAUUCUUUGAUCCUUCUCAGUGACGAGUCUGCAGUCCACCCGAUUCCUGGGCGACUUGAGCCUUUUCAGAACCCCUCCACCCAGCCUGCGGUCCUGCGAAGGGCCCGCGGAACUGUGAUCACCACCAGGGACGUAAUUAUCAACAAAAGGCGCAUUGCUGCUGGCAUUGGCUCUGUUCAUCUCUGACUCCCCUCGGAGAGCCUUGUUUGAUGUGCUAGUCCAUCCACCUCAGUCAAUUCUACAAGAAGAUGGCACUGUACUUUACAAAUGUGGAAGCAAUGAGCAAACUCGGUUUUUUUUUCUGCACAUGCUGUAUUGUUGCUAUGACAACUCCAAAGAGUGGAGCCGGGGAGCGGGUUCUUGAAAUGUCUACACUCUUACCAGCUUUAUCACAAGAAGUACAGGACUUCUAGGAAAGUGCUCUCGAAGUAGGUGUUUUUAUUAUUGACAAUAGUCUUUGUAUAGAUGAAUGUCAAGAAAAAGCAUUAAUUUCAUUAUUUUCCUUUCAUUACUUAAAUCAUUCAUUCAACACUCUUUCAUAAUGGCAAUUCAUACCCAUUUUUUUAACAUUACAAAAUUAUCUCUACAAACAGAGGGCGUUGAUGCUAGAGAGCAACACUUCUGAAAUCAUCAGGAAGGACUUCAACAAUCCUCACACUCUGUUUCCUGUGGUUGAGAAGCUCACAACUCCCCAAUCAGAUAACUCCAGCACUCCUAACAACAGAUAAAUGCAAUUAAUUUGUUUGUUAGUUUAGUGAAAAAAUACACUCCAUCAGAUUAAAUAUCAAAACAAAUUAGGAAAAUGAUACAAUGAUAAUACACCUGAAGCCACUCAGGAAAACCUCUAUUACCAUAUCAAAAUUUGAUACAGUUGACCAGAAAAUUGGAGAGAAAACAGUUCAGCAACUGAAACCAUUAUUAAUGAGCUGUUUUGACUCAAUACCAUCUGACUUUUUGAAAGCUAUUCUCAAGUCUGUGCAAGCUGAUUUUCAGCAAGUAAGCAAUUGCUCAUUUCAGUCUGGCAACUUUCCUAAAGCUCUUCAAGUUGCUGCCAUUAAGCCUCUUCUAAAAAAUAGAAUGCUGGAUGCCGGCAUGCUAUAGACCCAUCUAAAUCUCCCUUUCAUAGACAAGAUUGUUGAUAAAGUUGUUUUUAAUCAGGUUUUUGAACUCAUCACAAUACAGUAUAGAAUCUGUACUUUUCAAAGAGCUAAAUGAUAUAAGGUUGACUAGGGAAAGGUGUCAAUUCUGGUCUUGUUGGAUCUCAGUGCGCCUUUUGACAUGGUAGAUCAUAAUAUACUGCUGAACGGGUUAGAAGUGUGGGCAGGAUUAAAUGAAACAGUACUUUAAUGGUUCAGGUACUACCUUGAGGAAAUUACAGUAGGAGUUGUUUUGUGACCAUUAGAAGUGUUUCAUCUCAGCAACUGCCAAUGGCCAAUGGGGUCCCUCAAGGGUCAGGUUUUGGACCCCUCCUGUUAAUAUGAUACCCUUGGGUCGAAUUCUUCAGAAAUAUAAUUUUGACAUUCACACAGUAGCUACCCAGAAGACACAUGGUCAUAACUAGAAGUGUCUCAAGAUUAAUAUUUUCCAAUUGAAGUGUUGUGUCACUGUCAAAAACAUACAGUAAAUAACUAAAUGAGCCAAACUUUCUUGAAUUAAACCGCAACAAAAAUAAGAUAAUUGUUUUGGGGAAUAAAGAAAAGAUAAUUGCUGUUAGUAAAUACCUGGAGUCACACUCUUUUGAAAAAAACAGACAAAGUCCAAAACCUUGGUGUACUAAAAUAUUUCAACAGUCAUAUCAAAUCAAUUACUAAAACUGUCAUCUACCAUCUGAAGAACACAUCCAGAGUAAAGGUUUGCAUGUGCCUAGACGACCAGGAGAAGCUCAUCCAUUUCUUUUUUUCUUUAAUCUCAAGUAGACUUGACUAUUGUAAUGAUCUACUAACUGGACUCCCCAAAAAGUGCAUUAAACAGCUGCACUUCAUUCAAAAGGAUGCAACUCAGGUUCUGACCAAAACAAAGAAGUUAGGGCAUAUUGGGUCCAGUUUUAAAAUAUUUACACUGGCUCUUAGUCAGCAUUAGAAUACAUUUUAAAGUUCUACUACUGGUCUAUAAAUCAUUAAAUGGUUUAGGUCCAGAAUACAUGAAAGAAAUGCUGAUGGAGUAUGAACCCAGAAGGGUUCUGGGACCAAGAGACUGAGGUCAAAUAGUGGAACUCAGAGUCCAAAGCAACAUGGUGAAGCAGCAUAGCUGCAAUGUAACUAUUACGUUGCAUAUAAAUGAACUAAGUUGGCACCAGAAGUGACAUCAGCCCAAAAGUCAGCUAUCAAUCUGUUCAUUUCCCAAGCUGCUUUUCCUCACAAGGGUCACAGGAGUGCUGGAGCUUUUCCAGUUACAGUAGCUUCAGGAGAAAGGCAGACUACGCCCUGAAAUGGUAACCAGUUGGUCGCAGGGCACAUAUCAAUGCUAUUACUGCGUGGGAACUGAACCCACGCUGCCCACACCAAAAUCAGGCGACUGCACCACUACACCAUCAGUGACUCCAUUAGCUGUAAGCUAUAAACAUCAAAAUUCUCAAAACAGAUACAUUAUUGAAAUAGUGCACCCUGUGUGUAGCGAAUCUAUAGUAUUUGAGUUCCUUUUUUUGGGUGUAAUCUGAUCAGAAUUAACUUCUCUAUGAUAUUUUAUUUAAUUGCAAUGUAUUGUAUGAAUAAUAUUACAGUGGUAUUUGUAUGACUGUGUUUCGUUCAAUGCCAUAUACUGUACUAAAAAAACAAUUUAUGAGGGACAACAAAACAAAUAAAAUAUUAAAUUGUUUUCCUGAUUAUGGCACGUUUGUGCAAUAAUCUUUUCCCGUCUGGUGCAGUAAAGUAAAGAUAA